CACGUGGAUAACCUACCUAUAAGACUGGGAUAACUUCGGGAAACCGGAGCUAAUACCGGAUAAUAUUUUGAACCGCAUGGUUCAAAAGUGAAAGACGGUCUUGCUGUCACUUAUAGAUGGAUCCGCGCUGCAUUAGCUAGUUGGUAAGGUAACGGCUUACCAAGGCAACGAUGCAUAGCCGACCUGAGAGGGUGAUCGGCCACACUGGAACUGAGACACGGU
rnacentral:rRNA from 1 species